UCCAGUGGAUUCUGGGAAACUAAAAAGCCAUGUGUGUUCAUCUGACCAAAGCGGUAUUUCAGCGGAAGAUCUGUACUGGUUGUUUAAGAUCUUAGUCCCAGCGUGUGACCCGUGGGAUUUGCGGAGUGUGUCGUGAAUCGAUUACUGCAGACAGAUUUUCUGUACAGUGAGCCAUCACAGUUAUUUCUGUAUUUUCUGU